CGGUGCACUGAUCCGCGACCAGGCCAGCAUCGGUUUCGGCGGCCAGAURADCGGGGUGGGAACGUGGCUCCCUUCGGGGAGUGUUAUAGCCCACCUCASCAUGUGGUCAGYCGGGACCGARGACCGCGCUUCDGCUAGGAUGCUGGCGUAAUGGUUGUCABCGACCCGUCUUGAAACRCGGACCRVDGAGUUGACAAAUAACGCDAGUCUUUGGGUGKCAAACCCACABGCGCWAUGAAAGNGAACGGAGGUGGGAACCCUUUCSGKUGCRCCAUCGACCGAUCCUGAYGUCUUCGGAUGGAUUUGAGUACVAKCGUUAGUUGUCUGACCCGAAAGAUGGUGAACUAUGCKUGAAUAGGGUGAAGCCAGASGAAACUCUGGUGGAGGCUCGCAKCGGUUCUGACGUGCAAAUCRAUCGUCAAAUUUGCGUAUAGGGGCGAAAGACUAAUCGAACCAUCUAGUAGCUGGUUCCAGCCGAAGUUUHCCUCAGGAUAGYAGUAACGUUUUCAGUUUUAUGAGGUAAAGCGAAUGAUUAGAGCCUUGGGGAUGAACAUCCUUAACCUAUUCUCAACUUUAAUAUGUAAGAAGUCCUUGUUGCUUAAUUGAACGUGGACAUUUNAAUGCACCGUUACUAGUGAGCCAUUUUGGUAGCAGAHCUGGCGAUGCGGAUGAACGACGUGAGKUAAGUGCSGAAUUACGCUCAUCAACCCACGACCCUUGAGCACUA
rnacentral:rRNA from 1 species